GUGUCAGCAGCCGCGGUAAUACCGGCAGCACAAGUGAUGACCGCUAUUAUUGGGCCUAAAGCGUCCGUAGCUGGCCACGCAAGUUCAUCGGGAAAUCUGCGCGCUUAACGCGCAGGCGUCCGGUGGAAACUGCAUGGCUUGGGACCGGAAGACCAGAGGGGUACGUCCGGGGUAGGAGUGAAAUCCCGUAAUCCUGGACGGACCACCGGUGGCGAAAGCGCCUCUGGAAGACGGAUCCGACGGUGAGGGACGAAAGCUCGGGUCACGAACCGGAUUAGAAACCCCCGUAGUCC
rnacentral:rRNA from 1 species